GAUGAGGCCUCACUGGCUCGGCAGCAUUUAUUGCCCAUCCCUAAUUGCCCAGAGGGCAGUUUAAGAGUCAACCACAUUACUGUGGGUCUGGAGUCACAAGUAGGCCAGAUCAGAUCCACUUCAAUGCUGGAUGUCUGGAUUCCUGGACUACACUAGACUGCUCCAGCUGGGAAGGCUCCAGGGUCAGAAGUUCAAAUGGAGAACUCCUCUAAAGGUUAGUGAAGGAUCCUGAGACAGCCAGUCACGUCGAAGAUGCCAAAACUCUAACAAAA